UACAGGGGGUGCGAGCGUUGUUCGGAAUUACUGGGCGUAAAGGGCGCGUAGGCGGCCUAGCAAGUCAGACAUGAAAUCCCUGGGCUUAACCCAGGAAGUGCGUUUGAAACUGCUAAGCUUGAGUACAAUAGAGGUUAGUGGAAUUCCCAGUGUAGAAGUGAAAUUCGUAGAUAUUGGGAGGAACACCAGUGGCGAAGGCGGCUAACUGGGUUGUAACUGACGCUGAGGCGCGAAAGCAUGGGGAUCAAACAGG
rnacentral:rRNA from 1 species